rnacentral:rRNA from 1 species
AUUGAACGCUGGCGGCAGGCCUAACACAUGCAAGUCGAACGAGUGGCGGACGGGUGAGUAAUGUCUGGGCAACUGCCUGAUGGAGGGGGAUAACUACUGGAAACGGUAGCUACUACCGCAUACCAUCAGAUGUGCCCAGGUGGGAUUAGCUUGUUGGUGGGGUAACGGCUCACCAAGGCGACGAUCCCUAGCGGGUCUGAGAGGAUGACCAGCCACACUGGAACUGAGACACGGUCCAGACUCCUACGGGAGGCAGCAGUGGGGAAUAUUGGACAAUGGGCGCAAGCCUGAUGCAGCCAUGCCGCGUGUAUGAAGAAGGCCUUCGGGUUGUAAAGUACUGUCGGCGGGGAGGCGUUAUCCGCAGAAGAAGCACCGGCUAACUCCGUGCCAGCAGCCGCGGUAAUAC